CAUGGCCAGGAUUAUUUCAACCGCAAAUUAUUUCCAUCGAUACAGCUGCAGGCGGUGUGUGACCAUGCAGGGCGCUUCAUUGAUGUGUUUGUGGGUUAUCCAGGUUCUGUCCACGACGCCCGGGUCCUGAGGCACAGCCCCCUGUUCCAGUCUGCCGCGUACCCACCCCCUGAUACCUUCUUGUUGGGUGAUGGGGGGUACCCCUGUCUGAUGAGGCCCAUUUCCCUCAUCACACCAUACAAGAACCCACUCAGGGGAGUGGCACAACAGAGGUUUAACGCGCAUCAUGCCAGAGCUCGUUCGGUCAUUGAGCGGGCUUUUGGCAUGAUGAAGACCAGGUGGAGGUCCAUCUUUUUCUGUGCCUUGGAGGUGGACGUCUCAUUUGUGCCAGAUGUCAUUGUGUGUUGCACUAUGCUUCACAAUGUAUGUCUGGGCAAUGAUGAUGUCCUACCGGUGGAUGAGGAGGACCCUGAAGAGCCCGUCGGGGGAGAGGACCAUGGCGAAACAUCAAGUGGUGGUGCCCUGCGAGACAGCAUUGCAGAUCAGCUGUCCGCACUUCAGUGUCUUCCAUCGGGACACGAUUAUUGUUAAUAAAUUAUUAUAUAGUUCUUUGAUUAAUAAAUUAUUAUAUAGUUCUUUGAUUAAUAAAUUGUUAUGUAGUUCUUUGAUUGAUACAUUGUUAUAUAGUUCUUUGAUUGAUACAUUGUUAUAUUGUUCUUUGAUUGUAUAUUGUAAUUACAUUAAUUAAGUUAUAACACCGUUCAUGUCGUUGCAGGAACACGGACAGGAGCCUGAAAACACCGCACUCACUCCACCCACCCAACUCACUACACUCACUCACACAGAAAUGACCAAGGAGGGUGGUCGCUCCCUGAGCCUGGGCCCUCCCGAGGUUUCUUCCUACAUGGGAGUUUUCCCUCGUCACUGUUGCCCUUGUGCUUGCUUGGGGAGCUUUCCAAUAAAAUACACUUAUUUUAACUUAACUGAACUCUGUUGUUGUCUCAUCAUUUACAUGUACCUUUAAAAAAAAAAACACAAAGCUGUAAAUGGUAUUGUAAUUGUUAUUGUUUUUUAUUUUUCGGCCAACCGCUCCAUAAUAGCCAGAAGCUUAUCCAUUCUGAGUUCGGCCCUCUCCUGCCGCUCCAUCUCUCUCCGCUGCCUUUCCGCUUCAGAGGCCUCCGCCCUCUCCAUCAUCUCCCCCACAAAAGCCAUGUUGUACCUCCUCUUCCUCGGUGGUUCCUGGCUCUCCUCUCUCGGUGGUGGGGAGGACACACUUCUCUGUGGGGAGGACACGGCACCCAUAGAGUUGGGCUCUGCCAUGGAUGAGCUGCAGGGCAAAGAGGCACGCAGCACGGGUGGUGUGAU
ensembl:lncRNA